UAUGAAGUGAUUUAUAAUGCAGUCAAGAUAUUGUACAGAUUUUGGGAAUCAAACCUUGUUGUUGCUGCACUUGAGUCACAGGAAACAAAUAUUGAUAUAAAAUAUUGUUUUAUUAUUACUGUGUUUGUAUUAUAAUAAGUGUAGUGCAUUAACAGAGUAAAUGAUAUUAACUGAUGAUAUGAUAUUAAACUCAAAAACAGAAUAUAUAUUUUAUUAUUUAUUUGAUUUCUUUUGAAUUUCUUCAUCUUUUUCUCACAUCUUUUUGUAUCUCUGUAUGUCAGGUGUGUCUGCUCCUAAAGUGAUCGUCCUGCCGCCGUCCAGUGAAGAGAUUUCCAUCAAGAAGGCAGCAACAGUGAUGUGUGUGGCCAGCAAUGGUUUCCCUUCAGACUGGAGUCUGAGCUGGAAAGUGAAUGGGAAGAUGUCAGGAUCUCAGGAGAACAGAGCUGGAGUCCUACAGAAAGACGGCGGUCUGUACAGCUGGAGCAGCAGUCUGACUCUCACUGAACAAGAAUGGAUCAACAGAGACUCAGUGAUCUGUGAGAUCAGUCGGGAAGGUCAGACAGUCACUGGAGAAGUGAAGAAAGAUCUGUGUUCUGAGUAGAUCCUCUCUUCUUCUCAUCUCUUCUUCUCAUUCAUGUCUCACAUCAACAGUCUGUGUCUCUGCUUUAUUCAUUCUGUCUGCUUUUAAUAAACUUCAAUAAAGAAAUAUUAAAUAUUG